AGUCAAUAGAUACCCAGGUAGUCCCAGCUGUAAACGAUGCGCGUUAGGUGUAUCGGUGACCACGAGUCACCGAGGUGCCGAAGGGAAACCGUGAAACGUGCCGCCUGGGAAGUACGGUCGCAAGGCUGAAACUUAAAGGAAUUGGCGGGGGAGCACCACAACAGGUGGAGCCUGCGGUUUAAUCGGACUCAACGCCGGGAAGCUCACCGGAUAAGACAGCUGAAUGAUAGCCGGGUUGAAGACUCUGCUUGACUAGCUGAGAGGAGGUGCAUGGCCGUCGUCAGUUCGUACUGUGAAGCAUCCUGUUAAGUCAGGCAACGAGCGAGACCCACGCCAACAGUUGCCAGCAUGUCCUCCGGGGAUGGUGGGGACACUGUUGGGACCGCCUCUGCUAAAGAGGAGGAAGGAAUGGGCAACGGUAGGUCAGCAUGCCCCGAAUUAUCCGGGCUACACGCGGGCUACAAUGGUCAGGACAAUGGGUAUCAACACCGAAAGGUGAAGGCAAUCUCCUAAA
rnacentral:rRNA from 1 species